UGGGGAAUAUUGCACAAUGGGCGCAAGCCUGAUGCAGCCAUGCCGCGUGUAUGAAGAAGGCCUUCGUGUUGUAAAGUACUUUCAGCGGGGAGGAAGGGAGUAAAGUUAAUACCUUUGCUCAUUGACGUUACCCGCAGAAGAAGCACCGGCUAAUUCCGUGCCAGCAGCCGCGGUAAUACGGCGGGUGCAAUCGUUAAUCGGAAUUACUGGGCGUAAAGCGCACGCACGCGGUUUGUUAAGUCAGAUGUGAAAUCCCCGGGCUCAACCUGGGAACAGCAUCUGUUACUGACAAGCUUGAGUGGAGUAGAGAGGGGUAGAAUUCCAUAUGUAGCGUUGAAAUACGUAGUGAGGUGGAGGAAUAACGGUGGCGAAGGCAGCCCCCUGAACAAAGACUGACGCUCAGGUGCGAAAGCGUGGGGAGCAAACAGG
rnacentral:rRNA from 1 species